rnacentral:lncRNA from 1 species
UUCAAGGCAACUCAGAGGUCCAUGGAGCAAGCUGGCAUGUGUUUGCUCAUCUUCAAACUCUAUGCAACACCAAGAAAGGACUCACCUCUCAAAUAUCCCAUGAAGCUUGAUGAGCUUUCACUCUACUCAGUUCCUAAGGGUGAAUUUGAAUAUGUGGAGGAGUGGAGGACCCAGUUUGAAGAAAGCAUCUCUCAGCUCCAACAUUAUUGUAGGCCAUGUACAAGUUGGUGUCAGGAAACAUACUCCCAAACUAAUCCCAAGAUGCAAAGUUUGGGUCAAUGAGGGUUAGACAGCUAUGAAUAUCUCCAAAUGCACCUCCAGGAUAUUUUCCAAGACUUGGUGUUAUUGGUUUUGCUGGCCUUUUUGGACUCCUUUUGGCAAAAGCUACAAAAAUAAAGAAGAAGGUAUAGCCUUCUGGGUUCAUGGGAUUAGCUGCCUCUAUCUAUUAUCUACAAUAAUUCAUUGCAUUUGCCCAGGUCAGUGGGGAGAGUUUACAUGGUUGGGGUUUAUGAAGAUACAUAGUCCCAGAAGAUUUGUAG